AGCUGUUGGUGCCAUAUUGUCAACAACUGAUUCAGUUUGCACGCUGCAGGUUCUCAAUCAAGAUGAAACGCCCUUACUUUACAGUAUUGUAUUCGGUGAGGGAGUGGUGAAUGAUGCCACCUCUAUUGUGCUUUUCAAUGCAGUCCAAUCACUUGAUGUCA